rnacentral:rRNA from 1 species
AGAGUUUGAUCAUGGCUCAGAUUGAACGCUGGCGGAAUGCUUUACACAUGCAAGUCGAACGGCAGCACGAGAGCUUGCUCUUGGUGGCGAGUGGCGAACGGGUGAGUAAUAUAUCGGAACGUAUCCAAUAAUGGGGGAUAACUAAUCGAAAGGUUGGCUAAUACCGCAUACGCCCUACGGGGGAAAGCAGGGGAUCUUCGGACCUUGCGUUAAUGGAGCGGCUGAUAUCUGAUUAGCUAGUAGGUGAGGUAAAGGCUCACCUAGGCUUCGAUCAGUAGCUGGUCUGAGAGGACGACCAGCCACACUGGAACUGAGACACGGUCCAGACUCCUACGGGAGGCAGCAGUGGGGAAUUUUGGACAAUGGGGGCAACCCUGAUCCAGCCAUUCCGCGUGAGUGAAGAAGGCCUUCGGGUUGUAAAGCUCUUUCGCAAGGGAAGAAACGGUGCAGACGAAUAAUCUGUGCUAAUGACGGUACCUUGAUAAGAAGCACCGGCUAACUACGUGCCAGCAGCCGCGGUAAUACGUAGGGUGCGAGCGUUAAUCGGAAUUACUGGGCGUAAAGCGUGCGCAGGCGGUUUUGUAAGUCAGAUGUGAAAUCCCCGAGCUCAACUUGGGAACUGCGUUUGAAACUACAAGGCUAGAGUAUGGUAGAGGGGGGUAGAAUUCCACGUGUAGCAGUGAAAUGCGUAGAGAUGUGG